AUCCGGGCUGCGGACAGUGUCUGGUGGGUAGUUUGACUGGGGCGGUCUCCUCCUAAAGAGUAACGGAGGAGCACGAAGGUUGGCUAAUCCUGGUCGGACAUCAGGAGGUUAGUGCAAUGGCAUAAGCCAGCUUGACUGCGAGAGUGACGGCUCGAGCAGGUGCGAAAGCAGGUCAUAGUGAUCCGGUGGUUCUGAAUGGAAGGGCCAUCGCUCAACGGAUAAAAGGUACUCCGGGGAUAACAGGCUGAUACCGCCCAAGAGUUCAUAUCGACGGCGGUGUUUGGCACCUCGAUGUCGGCUCAUCACAUCCUGGGGCUGAAGUAGGUCCCAAGGGUACGGCUGUUCGCCGUUUAAAGUGGUACGCGAGCUGGGUUUAGAACGUCGUGAGACAGUUCGGUCCCUAUCUGCCGUGGGCGCUGGAGAAUUGAGGGGGGUUGCUCCUAGUACGAGAGGACCGGAGUGAACGCACCGCUGGUGUCCGGGUUGUCACGCCAGUGGCACUGCCCGGUAGCUAAGUGCGGAAAAGAUAAGUGCUGAAAGCAUCUAAGCACGAAACUUGCCCCGAGAUGAGUUCUCCCUGAGCCUUUAAGGCUCCUGAAGGGACGUUGAAGACGACGACGUUGAUAGGCCGGGUGUGUAAGCGCAGCGAUGCGUUGAGCUUACCGGUACUAAUGACCCGUGAGGCUUAACCUU
rnacentral:rRNA from 1 species